rnacentral:rRNA from 1 species
GACGAACGCUGGCGGCGUGCUUAACACAUGCAAGUCGAACGAAGUGGCGAACGGGUGAGUAACGCGUAAACAACCUGCCCUUCAGCGGGGGACAACAGUUGGAAACGACUGCUAAUCCCGCAUACUGAAGGAGGGGAUUGCGUCUGAUUAGCUAGUUGGCGGGGUAACGGCCCACCAAGGAGAUGAUCAGUAGCCGGGUUGUGAGGAGUAACGGCCACAUUGGGACUGAGACACGGCCCAGACGCCUACGGGAGGCAUCAGUGGGGAAUCUUCCGCAAUGGACGAAAGUCUGACGGAGCAACGCCGCGUGAGUGAUGACGGCCUUCGGGUUGUAAAGCUCUGUUAAUCGGGACGCGGUACCGGAAUAGAAAGCCACGGCUAACAACGUGCCAGCAGCCGCGGUAAUUC